rnacentral:rRNA from 1 species
ACGGGUGAGUAAUACAUCGGAACGUGCCCAAGAGUGGGGGAUAACGGAGCGAAAGCUUUGCUAAUACCGCAUACGAUCUACGGAUGAAAGCAGGGGACCGCAAGGCCUUGCGCUCAUGGAGCGGCCGAUGGCAGAUUAGGUAGUUGGUGGGAUAAAAGCUUACCAAGCCGACGAUCUGUAGCUGGUCUGAGAGGACGACCAGCCACACUGGGACUGAGACACGGCCCAGACUCCUACGGGAGGCAGCAGUGGGGAAUUUUGGACAAUGGGCGCAAGCCUGAUCCAGCCAUGCCGCGUGCAGGAUGAAGGCCUUCGGGUUGUAACUGCUUUUGUACGGAACGAAAAGCCUCUUUCUAAUAAAGAGGGGUCAUGACGGUACCGUAAGAAUAAGCACCGGCUAACUACGUGCCAGCAGCCGCGGUAAUACGUAGGGUGCGAGCGUUAAUCGGAAUUACUGGGCGUAAAGCGUGCGCAGGCGGUAAUGUAAGACAGAUGUGAAAUCCCCGGGCUCAACCUGGGAACUGCAUUUGUGACUGCAUUGCUGGAGUGCGGCAGAGGGGGAUGGAAUUCCGCGUGUAGCAGUGAAA